GAUUCUGUUUGUUCGGCUAUAAUGUACAGUUUUUUUUUAUACAUAUGGGAUUGCUUAAAAUGUAAAAUUACAAAGGGAAUGAUAUCUCAAAAGUUAAAGUUUUUUAUACCUGUUAUUAAUAUUAAAAAAAAGUGAUAUGAAGAUUAAACAUUUGACAAGCUGGUGGCUACAAAUGUGUAAUCUUAAAAAACCGGAAGAAAUUUUAAUAUUUAAUGACAAUGAUAAUUUAUUGAAUGUUUUAAAGAAUAACAAAAGGUAUCAAAUAUGUUUGGUUGACUUAAAUGAAAUUGUACCUAAUAAUUUGUACAAUAUAAAUAAUAUAAAAUCGAUAAUUGACCAUCAUAUAAUUAAAAAAGAAGAUAUAUCUAAAAAUAUAACCAAAUCAAUUUAUCCUAUAUGUGUGUGUAGUUGUAUGGUUAUUAUAGCUUAUUUAUAUAAAUUUUCGAGCAAGUAUCUCAAUAUACCCUUUAUUAAUAGAUCUAUGAUGUGGCUAGUAUAUGGAACCAUUUUAAAAGAUUCAAACAACUUUAUAGAAAAGGAUUUUCAGAAACGAUGGAUACUAGCGGAUUUAAAAAUAUUUGUAUCUUUGAAAGAAUACUUUAGAAUACCAAAACAAAUGGACAUAUAUAUCACAUACAUGUUCAACGUUAUUAGAUUUACCAUUGAUUUAAAAAAAUAUAAUAUAGAAAAUUUAUUAUUCGUCGAUUACAAAGACUAUCAUUAUGGAAUUUUAAAAAAAAAAAUAAAAAUAAGAGCGGCAUCAAUAGAUUUUAGUAUAGAUCUUUUAAUUACCCACAACGACAAUAAAAACCUCACUGACAAAAUGUGUGAGUUGUGCGACGAAAAAAACAUAUCUCUUUUUAUAUUAUUGGGAUCUUAUUUAAAAAACUUUAAACUAUUUAAAGACAUGGGUAUUUUGUUUUAUAAUGAUGAUAUAAAAGCAGAAGAAUUAAUGAAUGCCUUGUUGAAGGAAGUUGAUGCAAAACUUACGAAAAAAAAAAGCACAAAUGUAAUUUGGGAAACAAAUUCUAAAAACUUUGAAAUAUAUCAAAUAAACAACGCAAGUUAUUCAAGAAAAAAGUUAGAGUGUUUUUUAAAUGAAUAUAUGAAUAAAUAUUACAAAAAUUAA
rnacentral:lncRNA from 1 species